rnacentral:tRNA from 1 species
GGGCCUGUAGCUCAGUGGUAGAGCAGGGGGCUCAUAACCUCUAGGUCGCAGGUUCGAUCCCUGCCAGGCCCA